rnacentral:tRNA from 1 species
UCCCUGGUGGCUCAGAGGUUAAAGCGUCUGCCUACAGUGCAGGAGACCUGGGUUCGAUCCCUGGGUCGGGAA